GUGAGAAUGAUGUCAAUCCUACAUGAUAAUGAAGCACAAGCAUGAAUAGCUCUGCCGAAAAAGGUCACUAAUUCUGUUGGAUUCCUUGUCUGGAACUUGCUGUCCAACUUAUUAGGAGUUAAGGAGGAGCUAACUUGUAAAGGAGGCAAGAUGAGAGAAGAAAUGCCUAACCCCCAUCACCUAACUUCCCAUGCAAACAAGGGAGACAUGCCAUGGAGCCGGAUGAGAAACUUAUGCGAAAUGCAGCAGAUUUGAUGGUAGCAAGGUUGGUAGGAAGUCUUGCUAAUGUAACUUAUUAGGAACCUUUACGUGGUCCAGUAUCAAACCAACUCAGAAGGUCACUUCAGGGCUUGGCCAUAGCAAAUGAUCUUCUAGAGCAGUCAUUUUAGCUGGUGACUAAUGGAAUCACAGGCGGAAUCCAUCCAUUGACACACAUCUUCCUCGAUCGAUAGCCGCUCUGGAAAUGUUGUGAUACACACAAAGUUUUAAAUAUUAUUCCAUCAUUUGUAUUUGUCUAUGACAGUUAGAUCAGCUAUCGAGGGACCAAAUUUGCUUUUGAUUGCAAACUUGAGUUUGCUCAUACUGCUCAUCUAACUUUUGCUGUUGUUCAUUGCAGGUUGAGUGCAAGGCUGAGCUGCAAGCAGAACUCGGUCCUUUGUUGAGAGCACUAUUUCAGUAUUGAAUGAGAUUUACUUAUUAAAGCAAUAAUACCAGCAAAUAGCUGAGAAAAAUUUCGUCUAAACCAUUUAAUGGGGAAAUAGAUCGAUUACUUUUAAACGGGAGCCCUUUAUCCAGAGCCAGGGCAUGUGUCACAUUCACAACGAGUUUAUGAGAAUCGAUCAACCCAGAGCUCAAAUGCAUUUCCAGUUUGCCCCUCGGCUUCAUCAGGAGGUGGAUUAUCCAGGCAAUUUGCAUCUCUACUUCUGACCAAAUGAGUGCUAGCAUUUACUCAUCUGGCCUUGUUAGCACUGGAAUUGAUGCUAUACCCCAUACACCGGAAAUCGACUCUGACGAGAUAGAACCAGUUGGAUCCCAGAAUCCUACAAGUUUGCUCAUCUCGUAUUUCAAUUGGCAAUGGUCCACAAACUCUUGUAAACGACAUCAUUCCUUCAUUCCCUCCUGCUUUAGCUAGCUACUGAUGGAACCUUCCAGUUAUGCAAAAGAACCUGGAAAUGCUGCACAUCCUACUAAUGCAAUUCUGUCUUCCGAGCAUCUUGGGACAAACCUUGAUAUUAGAAUGAGUUAUUUUGAUGAUACAAUCUCAUUUUUAUAUGUUUAGACGUAUGUGUGCCGGCUUUAGAUUAUGAAGCACAAGUCCGAAUAGCAGCUGCCGAAAAGGUUACAAACUCAGCUGGAUUCUUAAUCUGGAAUUUGUUGUCCAACAUAUUAGGUUGUACUUAAGUUGUUACUUUUGAAUAUGCAAUUUAUGUAUUUGUUACAUACGUUGUGCUUCAUUUCUUUAUUUUUAUUCACCAGCUGAUUUAUAUAAUUGAAUUUGUUUGUUUCUGUUUGUUUUGUAGUAGUUAAACUUCUAAAGGAAGUGAGAUGAGAGAAGAAAUACCUAACGCCCAUCACCUAACUUCCCAUGCAAACAAGGGAGUAUUUUGUUUCCCCUCACAUUUUUUUCCUUCACAUAAAGGGCUAUGUUAAGAUUAAGAUUUGGGGUGAGGGUGUUUGUGUGCAUGCUUGAUUAUGUGGUUGUAAAUAAUUUGAUUACUCUAUCUCUGAUGUGUUGAUUCUGAAGGACCCUUUUUUCCAUAGUGUAUAUAACUAUGCGAAUGCUAAAGAAGUUAUGUGUUUUUAACUGACAGGUCUAUGCCAUAGAGCCUGAUGAGAAACUUAUACGAAAUGCAGCACAUUUGACAGGAAGUCUUGCUAAUAUAACCUGUAGGAGUUAUGGAGGAGCUAACUUUUUAGGAAACAAGAUAAGAAAAGUAGCUAACCCCCGCCACCUAAUUUUCUAUGCAGACAAAGGAGUGUUCUAUCUUGCCUCACAUUUUAUCGUCCAUCACAUAAAGGGAAAUGUUUAGAUUCAUUUUGGGGUGUAGGUGUUUGUGUGUACUAUAUGCGUGUAUAGUGUGAGUGUAGUGUUGUGUCCGCAUUGUGUGUUUUGGUUUAGUGUAUGAACUUCGUGUACUUUGUGAUUUUGCGUGCAGUGUGUAUAUGUGUGUUUGUAGUGUA